rnacentral:lncRNA from 1 species
AUGAAGGCCGUGGCGCACACGUCGAAUUCCGACCGACAGUACCUUUUAGGGAGGAUGCCGUCUUUGGUCCCUAUUUUGUAUAACUCGUGUUCGUUUUUGUCGAGAAUUACGCCGAUUAUGUUUCUUAAACAAGCACGAGGCUUGUCCACGUCUGGUAUAGGUAUUGUCGCUUCAAUUGUUCCGUAUACUUCCUCCAAUGGAACAAAAUACACAAUGUCAUCGGUUCCCGUUGCUUUCACCAACUUUUCUAUACCCCCGAUUUCAAUAACAUUAAACCGCCUAACACGUCUCUUCUGUUGGGGGUUUUAUUCCGAGCACUUCUCGCGGCUUUCACUUCAUUUAUCAGAUCACUGUACUGUUCUCUGGGAAUAACAUGCAAUUGGUUUUUUUCACUAUCUUCAUUUAUAAAACUACGUAAAAAAAGUUCAAAAUUAACGUUCGCGGUAGCCAUGAUUACUCCGUUGCACAAAAACAAAACACUGAUCACUGUCCUCCGUGGACGCCGCGUUCCGCGAAGCGUGUUUGGUGCGCUACCGUUCGCACCUAAUCCACAAGAAUUUGUCUUCCCUGUCAUCUAAUUGGAAUGUCCACUGAUAACGCCGCCGAAUUGUGCUUCCCUUGUUGCCAAGUAAGCGGUGAAAAAGUUUUCCGGUAAAGUCACUUUAGCGGUAGAAAAAGUUUUCCGGUAAGGCCACUUUAGCGGUAGAAAAGUUUUCCGGUAAAGUCACUUUAGCGGUAGAAAAGUUUUCCGGUAAAGUCACUUUAGCGGUAGAAAAAGUUUUCCGGUAAGGCCACUUUAGCGGUAGAAAAGUUUUCCGGUAAAGUCACUUUAGCGGUAGAAAAAGUUUUCCGGUAAAGUCACUUUAGCGGUAGAAAAAGUUUUCCGGUAAAGUCACUUUAGCGGUAGAAAUCAGAAACGGGGUUUGCCAAAAAAAUCGUUUGGCAAACCUAGUUUGCCUAAAAUCACUUUUGGCAAACCUAGGUCUGCCUAAAAUUUUCAGGCAAUCCUAGGUUUGCCAAACGAGGUGCUUGGCAGACCUAGGUCUACCUAGGCAGACCUAGGUUUGCCUAGGCAGACCUAGGUCUGCCUG